rnacentral:rRNA from 1 species
UGGGGAAUAUUGGACAAUGGGGGGAACCCUGAUCCAGCCAUGCCGCGUGUGUGAAGAAGGCCUUAUGGUUGUAAAGCACUUUAAGCGAGGAGGAGGGUACUGGUAUUAAUACUACCAGCUACUGGACGUUACUCGCAGAAUAAGCACCGGCUAACUCUGUGCCAGCAGCCGCGGUAAUACAGAGGGUGCGAGCGUUAAUCGGAUUUACUGGGCGUAAAGCGUGCGUAGGUGGUUCGUUAAGUUGAAUGUGAAAGCCCCGGGCUCAACCUGGGAACUGCAUCCAAAACUGGCGAGCUAGAGUAGGGCAGAGGGUGGUGGAAUUUCCUGUGUAGCGGAGAAAUGCGUAGAUAUAGGAAGGAACACCAGUGGCGAAGGCGACCACCUGGGCUCAUACUGACACUGAGGUGCGAAAGCGUGGGGAGCAAACAGG